AUUCACUGGUGCUUGCUGAACAUUUAUAGAGACCAAACAGUGGAUUUCAGCACAGUGAGGUGGUGAGUGGUAUGUUUCAACAGUGGUGAGAGUGACUGAGAGACAAGUAAUGUUCUGGAAGGCCAUGUACACCUGUCACACUACAAAAUUAAGAGCAUUUCAAUGAGCUCAUCUGCUCAAAUCGGCAGGUUAUGACCAGAGAACUCUGUAAGGAGCUGAAUAUCAGCUUGACUGUGUUGGGAUAUUCCAGUUUGCAUCAGCUGGGUGCCACAAAUCCUUACACAAGAUCAGAAAGAACAUUGUAUGUGACUUUUUCAGGACCUGUUGAACAGUCAUGGUGUUGAAGGUGAGUGACAGUUUCUUGAAACACAUCUUUACUGAUGAUGUGACAUAGUGUCACCAGUGUGAGCUGGAGUCAAAACUGUAGUUCAUGGCAUCUGUGGAGUGCUGACAUGUGGAUUCCCCACCAAGAAAAAAGUUCAAGACACAGACCUCAGGGAAAAGUGAUAUUCACUGUCUUUUGGAAUAGGAAAGGGGCGUUCCUUCUGGAUUUCCUGGAACCCAGAUGAAUCAACAUCUCUGUUUUCUACUUUGCAGUUCUGGCUAAGCUGCAGGCUUGAGUGUCCAGAGUCAGGCCAGAGAAAAAUACAACCUGCCUUUUGUAAUAUUCUCCUAGCAACCAUGCCAGCAUAGCAGCUGUGAAAGGAAAAUAGUUCAGCUGCUGACCAGCAAAGUGAGGGAGGGAAUUGUCCACUUCUACUCUGACCUUACAAGGCCCCAUCUGGAGUACUAUGUCCAGACCUGAGGUCCCAGCACAAGGAAGAUGUGGAGCUUUUGGAGAGAGUCCAGAGGAAGGCCACAAGGAUGAUCAGAGGUCUGGAGCAUCUCUUGUACUGAGACAGGUUGAGGGAGUUUGGCUUUUUCAGACUGGAAAAGAGAAGUUUCUCUAAGACCUCACUACAGCCUUCCAAUAUUUAAAGAGAUUGUGGAUGCCCUGUUCCUAGGCAUGUUCCAGGCCAGGAUGGAUGGGGAUGUGGGCAGCCUGAUCUUGUGCUUCAUCUAGUGGUUGGCAAUUCUGCUCAUAACAAGGUUGAAAAUAGUUGGAGGAGACCUCAAAGAUCACCUCAAGACAUUCUGCAAUUCUUAAAAUGUCUUGGUUUCUUUUGUAAUAUCAGUGUGUUGAAAAUAAUACCUCCUAAGACAUUAAUACUUCUGCCUCCAAAAAGUGCGUACAACUUCACUCCAACUUUAGAAAAGGAUGAAUUACACUUUCUUUUUAAACAUUAGAAAUUCAUUUGGCAACUACAGCAUUGUCGAAGCAAAUUGAUUUAUAAGAUGCCAAGAUCUCAACCAUUUUCUAUAUAACUGAACAGUGAAAUAAAGGCCUGGGGAAGUAGUGAUGAUGUCCAAAAGAGACUUUUCCUGCAAGUGAUAGAUAGACCACUGGUUUUAUGGAAGAGUGAGGUGGUGAUAAUACUUUCUUCUUGCAUAUUACAAGCCCUUGUUUAACCAUAAUUUGCAACAUUCCACUUUCAUAAGCUAGAAAGUUGUCUUACAGGACAUGUUGAAGGACUUUGGCCUUCAAGCAGUUAAAGGAGAGGAACACAGCUAACCUGUUGUUUAAAGGGUGUCUUCAAGAUAACACUGUUGUAUAUGCAAAUACAGACCUUUUGCUACUAUGGUAGUGUAUUUGUCUUACUUUUAAUGUGUCUUAGAUGACUAAAAUUUCCCCAGAUGUUUAUUCUCAUUUACAGGCAGCAAUAGAAUUCAUUGUAGUGAGAUUGUCUGAGACAAGUUGAAGAGACUAUACUUCAUGAAAGAAACAAAUACAUCUUUCUAGGCUUCAGUAUGUGCCUCUUACUGAGGAGAUGAUUCAGAUGCUCGUGUGAAGGAGUGUGAGCUGGUUUCCGUGGGAGACAUUUCUGGAAAAUUAAGAGAGAGGCUGAUGAAAUUCAACUGCAGAAAUUUUUUCCAGGGAGAAGGUUGAAUUGAUAUUAGGAAAUCUGAAAAUUGGAUGGUCUUUAUGAUUUUGAUUUGUUUGUUAUUCUCACAACUGAAAAUAACUCGUCUAAGUUGCAAACAGAACAUGCACUAUCUGUUUAUUUCUGUGAACAAACAAAAAACCCGUGUUUUCAAUUGUUACUCUUCUUUGGCAUGUAAAGAUAUUCUUCCUGAUUCUGUAGAAAUAUUGUAUAGCACAAAAAUGAUGUUUCAUUUGUGAAAAAUUUCAACAAAAUUUGCCCACCUGUGUGACGUAUUGGAGGGUACCUGCAUUAGCAAGGGUUAGACUCUGUGAUUU